rnacentral:lncRNA from 1 species
UCUGUCGUUUCAUUCUUUCCUACAUGAGGAAAGAAACACAAGAACCUGUUACUCAGGAAUACUCAAAUGAUAAUUUUGAUGUUACCUACAGCCUUGGAAUUCCCAGGCUAUCUCUACUCAAGUACCAACAAGUCUGAUCUUGCUUCCAUGCCCAAAUAAGGUUGGACAGGUGAAAUGGUUGAAUCCAAAACAUGUCAGUGUGGUGCUGAAGCAAGAUCAAUGCCCAGACUCAAAGCCCAACUUCACGAUGGACUUCAUUGAAUAUUGCUGUCUUUAUUUGAUUUUAUGGGCAAGAAAAUUGAGAAUGUCUUGGCUGAUUUUUCAUUUAUCCAAGAAAUGA